rnacentral:ncRNA from 2 species
CGUUGGCUUUAGGGGUAUUCUGAAGAAGAAUUGAGAAAGACCCUUUGAACCUGAUCCGGCUUAUACCGGCGUAGGGAAAAGUUCAACCGUCACU